rnacentral:rRNA from 1 species
GACGAACGCUGGCGGCGUGCCUAAUACAUGCAAGUCGAGCGGACGGAUGGGAGCUUGCUCCCAGACCGUCAGCGGCGGACGGGUGAGUAACCCGUGGGCAACCUGCCUGUAAGACUGGGAUAACUCCGGGAAACCGGGGCUAGUACCGGAUAACUCUUUCCCUCACAUGAGGGAAAGCUGAAAGAUGGCAUCUCGCUAUCACUUACAGAUGGGCCCGCGGCGCCUUAGCUAGUUGGUGGGGCAACGGCUUCCCAAGGCGACGAUGCGUAGCCGACCUGAGGGGGUGAUCGGCGACACGGGGGCGGAGACACGGCCCUGACUCCUACGGGAGGCAGCAGAAGGGAAUCUUCCGCAAUGGACGAAAGUCUGACGGAGCAACGCCGCGUGAGUGAUGAAGGUUUUCGGAUCGUAAAACUCUGUUGUCAGGGAAGAACAAGUACCGGAGUAACUGCCGGUACCUUGACGGUACCUGACCAGAAAGCCACGGCUAACUACGUG